rnacentral:rRNA from 1 species
GACGAACGCUGGCGGCGUGCUUAACACAUGCAAGUCGAACGGAAAGGCCCUGCUUUUGUGGGGUGCUCGAGUGGCGAACGGGUGAGUCACACGUGAGUAACCUGCUCUUGACUUUGGGAUAACUUCAGGAAACUGGGGCUAAUACCGGAUAGGAGCACAUGCUGCAUGGUGGGGGUUGGAAAGUUUCGGCGGUUGGGGAUGGACUCGCGGCUUAUCAGCUUGUUGGUGGGGUAGUGGCAUACCAAGGUUUUGACGGAUAGCCGGCAUGAGAGGGUGACCGGCCACAUCGUGACUGAGAUACGACCCAGAGUCCUACAUGAGGCAGAAGUGGUGAAUAUUGCACAAUGGGCGGAAGCCGGAGGCAGCGACGCCGCGUGCGGGAUGACGGCCUUCGGGUUGUAAACCGCUUUCGCCUGUGACGAAGCGUGAGUGACGGUAAUGGGUAAAGAAGCACCGGCUAACUACGUG